rnacentral:lncRNA from 1 species
CGUUCAUUUGGAUAAAAAAACAGGAAUGCAAGACAACAGAUUAACCCGAUAUCGUUUUUCCAGUGGACGAUUCUAUUAGGUUUUUGACACGUGUGUUGAAACUUAUUUUCGUACGACGUUUAUGCAUUUUUUCUUUAUCAGUUUUCGUGCUUGAAGAUCAUUAUUUACCAAGUUUUCUGGAAUUGAUUAAGAGCUACGCGAAUCUAUUUUUCUUGUUUCUGAAAUGAUGAUUUAAUUUCGUCUUUGUCCGUGCAUCCCCUUUUUUUUUUACUGUAAAUUACUAGACAAUG